rnacentral:lncRNA from 1 species
AGUUCUUUAAUUACUUUUAUUUACAUUCAAAUUAUUUAUUGGAUUCCCGCUUGCAUCAAGUGCUCUAAUCUUUGCAACAUUAGUGUAGUAAUUAAUAGAUUAGACGUGGUGUUUAGUCUUGUAAUUACCUGGAAUUGCACCCAAUCCUGCGGAUUGUUGUGGUAGCCUUAGGGUAGUGACAGCCCUAACGGUCGACGUAUUCCAUGUAACACCCUAAAAUUUGUCUUUUCGAAAUAAAGCUAAAUUAAUUCAAUUUUUUGUAUGGUUGUGCUCAUGGAACAUAGGAAAAAUAAUAUUUUUCAUUUAAUUAAAAUUUAUCAUAGGAUAUAGCAACAUUUUUGUGCACUCAUGCUUAUGCAUUUUAUUUAUUGUGCUGACUGGUUUUAUUAAACUUCAAAAAUAAUUCAAAGUGAUUUUAAAAUGAAUUUGAAAAUGGCUUUGAAAUAAAGAAAAGAAAAGGAAAAAAAAUAGCAAACCCUCACCUCUCCCUGGGAAAUCGGCCUGAAGGCCUGCUCCUUCUUUUCCCGCGGCCCAGCUUGCUUCGGCCCAACAGCCCAGCCGCGCGCCUUUCCCUCCCUUUCUCUCUCUGUUCGCUGACAUCCCGGGCCCGCGUGUCAGCGCUUCCAUCCCCUUCCUCGCGCGUCACAGAGCCGGACUCGGUGGAAAUCACCGAUGCAAUCCCGGUUUCCACGGGAUCUUCCCCUUCAACGUGGAAUCGAAUCCUAUAAAGGCCACCGGUCACCCCACCGCACCUCGUUUUUCCACCCGAGCCGCAAAAACCAAGCCCUAGCAGUCUUCUCCUCUUGUUUUGGAUCUCGCCGACGUUGGGCUCCGCCGCGGCGAGCGUCCGGCCAUCUGUGCUCCACCCCGGUCCACGCAAAACGCGUUGGUGAGUGCGCAAGGAGUUUCUCUG